rnacentral:rRNA from 1 species
CCUACGGGUGGCAGCAGUGGGGAAUAUUGCACAAUGGGGGGAACCCUGAUGCAGCGACGCCGCGUGAGUGAAGAAGUAAUUCGUUAUGUAAAGCUCUAUCAGCAGGGAAGAAAAUGACGGUACUUGAGUAAGAAGCCCCGGCUACCUACGUGCCAGCAGCCGCGGCAAUACGUAGGUGGCAAGCGUUAUCCGGAUUUACUGGGGGUUAAGGGAGCGUAGAAGGCAGUGCAAGUCUUGAGUGAAAGGCGGGGGCUCAACCCCCGGACUGCUGUGGAAACUGUAGGGCUGGAGUGCAGGAGAGGUAAGUGGAAUUCCUAGUGUAGCGGUGAAAUGCGUAGAUAUUAGGAGGAACACCAGUGGCGAAGGCGGCUUACUGGACUGUAACUGACGUUGAGGCUCGAAAGCGUGGGGAGCAAACAGGAUUAGAUACCCGUGUAGUC